rnacentral:rRNA from 1 species
UACAGAGGUGGCGAGCGUUAUUCGGAAUUAUUGGGCGUAAAGGGCGCGUAGGCGGCUUGACAAGUCCCGGGUGAAAUCCCUCGGCUCAACCGAGGAACUGCCUUGGAAACUGUCUGGCUUGAGGCCGGGAGAGGGUAGUGGAAUUCCCAGUGUAGCGGUGAAAUGCGUAGAUACUGGGAGGAACACCGAUGGCGAAGGCAGAUCUCUGGGCCGUAACUGACGCUGAGGAGCGAAAGCGUGGGGAGCGAACAGG